rnacentral:lncRNA from 1 species
UGCGAGACCCUGUCGCUAUACAAAUAAAAUAAAAUUCAAAAAUCCUAGGUGGUACACACCUCAGAGUUCUGGCCAGAAUUCUUGUUUUGCUGCCGCUGGGUUUUUCCCUAAGCAGAACAGGUUUUUCUCAGGCCAGCCAGGCUGCCAUGAACUUCUGGUCCCUUCAAGCAGUAAACACCACCAGCCACGGGUUUCAAUCUGCACUCUGGCGCCUCUUCCUCGUUUUCUUUCAAACUGCGGGUUUGAAAAAUUGGAACGCUCGGACUGGAGAGGAGGCUCGGAAUUAAGAGCACUCGCUGCUCUUGCAAAGGUCUUUCUGACCAGCUGACUGACAGGCCCAACCGGAUCAACCCUGAAGGAAGGAAACUCUAGUCUGAAAAGCUCUAAUCUUUGGAGUGCAUCAAAGUAUAAUGUCUCCACCCAGGGCCAGAGGUGCUCUAUCCUUUUGAACAAACUUUUAAGGAGUGGAAAAGCUGAAACCUAACUAGGGAAACGGGAAGCGGGACCCAGAGCUUCGGUGGCCUUGAAGAACUCGAUCCUGGGAUGUGCUGAGAUCUCCACUGGUGCCUACAAAGAAACACAAAUUCAUCAUAUCACAGUUGCAGCUGGCUUACAAAACCAGAGAUGCUGUUUCUCCAUCUUCUAAGGACCCCUAUGCUCAAGGCUGAGAACAACUGAGACUCCAAGGUCAUGUGACUUAGGAUUAUACUACUAAUUAUAGGCUGGAGACUGAGUUCAGACAUGCUCAUCAAUGCCUGGACCCUGCUUCCCAAGCUUCUCUGCGUCUGUGGGAAUUAUUGAGACCCUGCCUUAGCUCUUGCCAAGACCUGUGGGUGCAGAGCAGGGGACAGGGUGGAUUAUUCUGCUCUUUGAAAUGUCUAUUGGGUCAAACCUAUCUGGAAACUCAGAAGCCAAGCCAGGGAGUUUUGAACAUGGGGGUUAUAACAGUAUGGUGGGUAGGGAGGCAGCCAAUCGUCCAGCAUCUGGAAUGAAGCCACACCACACUCUUCCCUGUGCCCCCAGCCCUCAGGCUUGGAAGAGCUCCCUGCCCCACUCCCUCCCUUCCUCCCUUCCUUCCUCUGUCCCCUCCACUAAUGAAUGCUAUCACCUCUCCUGCCUCCCUUCUUAUACCAAAAAUCUCAUCUCCUCCUAGACCUAUAUACUAUAGAAACAAAACAAACAAGCAACAAUAAAACCCUAAAUUAACACAUAAUAGGUCACCCAGGCAAGCAUGAAUAA